ACUAAAAAUAGGGUUAUAUCACAUACGGUGUCUCUUUCCAUCCUCUUAUGAUUUUGUCUAUGCAGUACGUGUCAUACCUUCCAAAAUUUUCACAUGCUUCAUAUUUCUUCUUCGAAAAUCCAUCCCUUUCUUCAUUAGUAAUUUUCUUUUGAGCUCGUCGAGAGGUAGUUAAGUCAAGUCAAUAAACUCUUCGUUUGAAUUUCUAUG
rnacentral:sRNA from 1 species